AAGUGUUCCCUGAUCUAAACCCUCUCUGCGUACUCAUCCAUGUUGCUUUCCCAGGGAAUUGGUUCCUGUAACCAUUUAAUCCUUCCAGCUAGCAGAGUCAACCUCACUAUGCAGGUCCCUGGGAAAGGGCUAAUCUAAAUUGAAUCAUUAAAUCAGCUGUCUGAUCUGGCCCCGUGCCGCAAAUCUUUGAAUAAGUUAAAACUUUCAACAACGGAUCUCUUGGCUCUCACAUCGAUGAAGAACGCAGCGAAAUGCGAUAAGUAAUGUGAAUUGCAGAAUUCAGUGAAUCAUCGAAUCUUUGAACGCACAUUGCGCCCCUUGGUAUUCCUUGGGGCAUGCCUGUUCGAGCGUCACUACAAACCCACUCAUAAACAUUAUGGUAAUGGUAGAAGUGAAGCGAGGCUACUAUGUAUGCCUUGGUCACUCUGCUGAAAUGAAUAGGCAGGACAAUCAACCUCUGCGAUAGACUUAUUAAUUGUUUUGAAAGCAAAAACCAGUCUCUUGCUCGGUUCUGGCCUGGCUCCCAUGGACCUCCAUGAAAGAUAAAUAUUGGGUUGACCUCGGAUCAGGUAGGGAUACCCGCUGAACUUAAGCAUAUCAAUAAGGCGGAGGA
rnacentral:rRNA from 1 species